UGGGGAAUCUUGCACAAUGGGGGAAACCCUGAUGCAGCGACGCCGCGUGAGCGAUGAAGCCCUUCGGGGUGUAAAGCUCUUUCGGCAGGAACGAUAAUGACGGUACCUGCAGAAGAAGCUGCGGCUAACUACGUGCCAGCAGCCGCGGUAAUACGUAGGCAGCGAGCGUUGUUCGGAAUUACUGGGCGUAAAGAGUGUGUAGGUGGUGUCGUAAGUUUGGUGUGAAAUCUCCCGGCUUAACUGGGAGGGUGCGCCGAAGACUGCGAUGCUGGAGUAUGGGAGAGGAAAGCGGAAUUCCUGGUGUAGCGGUGAAAUGCGUAGAUAUCAGGAGGAACACCUGCGGUGUAGACGGCUUUCUGGACCAUUACUGACACUGAGACACGAAAGCGUGGGUAGCAAACAGGAUUAGAUACCCCAGUAGUCCCUGAGCGGGCUGGCAAGGCGCAU
rnacentral:rRNA from 1 species